CAUACCCUCAGCCUUACAGGGUGACCAUUCUGUUUCUGGAGAUGCUCAAGGAACCAAACAGAAUAAAGGCAAGAAAGCUGAAAGUGUAGCUUCACUAUGAGCAGUGAGGGUGUGAUGCUCUGCAGGAAUGAAGGCUUUUUGCUCCUGGAAAGGGCACAGCAUGCUUCCAGCUCAGGUUCCUCCUUGAAAUUCACUUCAGAAAACCUCAUUUUCACAAGAGGAGCUUAAUCAUUCAUGUUUUCGCUAUGGAACUAAGGCUGGUUACUGAAUCCAGGAAUGUCUGGGGCUGCAGAGCUUGCAACAUGUGCUGAAGUGGAAAAAGAACCAGGAGCCACAUGUAUGCCCUUGUGUCUGCUCAUGCAUCCCGGGAGAGACUAAAGUCCUAUAUAUCAGAUGUUUCUGCUGCCUUCCACUGAAGUUCUGUGUUUUGUUUUUGCACUCUACACACACCUCAGCUUCAUGGCCUGAGACCAGUGUCUUCAUAAAACUGAAGAAGUGUCAACAAGUCUCCCUAUAAAGAGAAGUUUGAGACAAUGGAUCGCUAACACCGAGUUAAGUAUUCUACUGUGUAUCUGUGUCUUAAAAGAUCACAGGGUAACUACACAAAGAUGUACACUUUUGUUUUGCUUUCUGUGUCAGUUUAGAGACAAAAUUAAGGAAAGUACCUCCGUCCCCUGUUCCUGGGCUAAGUUCAUGGUCACCUAGGUGCUCUUUGUUGACCAGGUGUGAACAUCAUCUCCUUUCUACUUUCAGAGUACUGGCAUUUUCUUAGCAGAAAGGAUAGUGACACAUACAGUGUAAAAGUCAAAAUUAUUUUCCUGAUAGCUACUGGGUUAGUGAGGAUAGAGUAAAUUGCAUUUGAGGAUAAAUUUAGAUUUGUGAGUUAUUUCCUCUCUUCCUCUCACUCACUGUUCCCUGGAUGGCUGAAUAUGCACUUUCUCUUCUGCCCUUUAGGAAGCAUUUCCUGUACAAAUAUGGCUUACUCUUGCAAUAAUCUCCUAUAACACCACACUACUGGGCUUCUUUCCAAAAGGUCCUCAUCUGCUGUGUGGUACUCAGGAUCCCUAGGGUGGGAUAUCUUUCAUGUAAAUGAUUUCAUUCAAACUUUUAUAGAGGUGUUCUGCAAACAAGACAGUUUCAUUUCAGGACUUGGAAGGGGAAAGGGGAGAAAGCAAAUGAAUUUUUUAGAACCCUUAUACUCUACCCAGACUGCAUAUGUUUUCAGACUUAAGAAUUACUUUGCCAGCUUUGAACGAAGCUUAUCAUAGAUGAAGAUCUGCUUUAGUCUCUCUUCAGUGUUUCUCAAGGAAGAACUCAGCUAGUCAGAACUCUGCUAACAAAAGGUGAGUGCUUCAAGUCACACUACAUCUUUUGCCCCAUGGUGUUUUUCAUUCUUCUUCAUAUGUAUGUAGUCCAGGACUACAUUGAAAACUGGUGGAUAAAACUACUGCUUUUGUGAAGGUGAAACUCAAGUAUGGAAGUCCAGGGAAUUGUGCUGCCUUAAUGAAUUACUUAAAGAUACUACUGGGUUAUUGGAUAAUAGUGCUAUGAUAGGGGGCAUACAGGCAACAUAGAACAAGGCUUCAAGAGAACACCUGUAGAUAAGAAGACUACAGUCUAAGGACCAAGUUAUCAAUUCUGGCUGAGCAUGUGCCCCAUGUGUUUCCUUACUUACUCUUAGCAGGAGCCCAUAAGCCUCCACAUUCUAAGUUUCGUGAUGGUGUCUCUGCCCCCAGCCCAUUACUCCUGAGCUCCUGUUCAUCUCUUCUUGCUUGGCACUCUCACUUUGAAGGCUUUCACAGGGUUACACUCCUUGUAUGUGAUUAUGGUCACUCCAGCUAUUGUCUGAACCUAGCUGCAUAAUGGCUGGCACAUAGUGCUUGCUUGCUGAAUGGCACCCACACUGUAGUACUUCAUAGGUGUUAGCUUAUUUUUGUCAGCAACACAACAUGCAGUAGCAAUACCCUUACCUCCAUUCCAUUGAUUCAGUAACAAGUUUAGCUUAUUUGCUGGGCAUCUCAAUCUAAACACGUGGUGGCAAUUCUAUAAGAUUGGUGAUAAACUUCAGUGUUUUUCUUUUCUGUUCAAACCGAUAGAGGCAAUACUGGCUGUGAGGAGAUUGAGAAUGAGUAAGGAUGGUUCUUUCCUUUGGCCAUUACAAGAAUUCUGUGUAGAUUAUUGUUCCUGUUGGUCAGUACUGUCAUUCAAGUCAUGAUGCUCAUAGCCACUAACUUUAGGCUGCAGCUUUUUAUAUCCCUUUCUCUCACCCCUUCCUUUCCAGGAAUGAAAAAGUUUUGGACUUAAGUUCAGCCCUAAGGUACCCAAAUAUCAGUCUGGGAAUCUGGAGUAUCAUGUACAGGAAAGAUGGGGUCUUGACUUUGGAUUGAGGGAGAUGUCUAUGUGGCUGAUGGGCCUUCCCUGGACCAGGAGAGACUGCUUCUGUCCCAAGAGUAGGUUUUCAAAUGUUUCAUUUUAUGAACUCCUAGGAAGCAUCAACCUCCUCUGCUAGGCCAUCUUUUGAGUACAGCUUUUCACCGUCACGCAGGCAUUACUUUGCUGUGUGGUGGCGGAGUAUCUUGUGUCGAUUUCCUCUAAACCAAUGUGGAGCAGAAGCUUAACAGGUGAGAUGAAGAAAGAUCUGGUGGGACCAACAUAAAACAUGCAUCAAUAAGGACUAGUUCUGUCCCUACAUUAGCAGUGAAUAUGACAUACCCAUAUUAGAGUGUGCCUACUGUGGGAGAUGUCUUUAGAUGGUGGUUUCUAACUGUUGUCUACUCAACACAGAGUAUAGUGUUCCCAUAGAAAAGUGCACUGGCCAGAGACAGCCAGUUUUCAUAGAGAUGAAGUUCUCACUGCUUCUAUUAAGACUUAAAAACAUAUAAUAUUUCAUUGAUUUUUUUCACACUGAUUGACAUUUACUUUCUCAGUUUGUAUAUAAAGGAUCAAUAUAACCUACUGAUGACUUUAGAAAAAGCAGUUUUUGUCUUGGAAGUAGAUGAGGCAGACAGCUGACCAGGAGAGCAGUGCAACACAGGUUCAACCAGCAGGGCUUCUGCAUAUACAGAGUGAGGGGAACUCACCUCUUUCCAGUGUUACAUCUUGAGAAAGGCUAACUUUCUAUAAAAGCAAUAGGUUCAUCACCUUCUGAAACAAUGCUGUGAACCCAGAACACAGUGAGUAGGAAUGUAUGGCAUAUUCCUUAGCCAUCAAACAUCUAAAGUGAUUAUGGAAAUAGUGGUGGUGAAUCCCAAUUAUUUCCACAUUGCCUGGCUCUCCUCCAGGACUAUCCCUACCCCUUCCCAUUCCUUGACUGAUAUUCUAUCCUUUUCAUAUUUCAUCCCUGUGGGGCUUCAACAAUACUCAGGCAAAUGCAUAUAUAUGAAAUGUGGAAUUUGCAUCAUCACCAUAAUUAUCUCUCAGUCAAACAUCAUUUUGUGAGAUUAAAAAGUUUCAGAGAGGAAAUUAGUGAAAAUAAUAUCUAGAUAUAUUUUUUUAAUUUUUAAUGUUCAUUGUUUCUGCAGAGUCUGAACAAAACUAUAUCUNNUCAUCCCAACACCUUUC
rnacentral:sRNA from 1 species